rnacentral:rRNA from 1 species
GAUGAACGCUGGCGGCGUGCCUAAUACAUGCAAGUCGAGCGAACGGACGAGAAGCUUGCUUCUCUGAUGUUAGCGGCGGACGGGUGAGUAACACGUGGAUAACCUACCUAUAAGACUGGGAUAACUUCGGGAAACCGGAGCUAAUACCGGAUGAUAUUUUGAACCGCAUGGUUCAAAAGUGAAAGACGGUCUUGCUGUCACUUAUAGAUGGAUCCGCGCUGCAUUAGCUAGUUGGUAAGGUAACGGCUUACCAAGGCAACGAUGCAUAGCCGACCUGAGAGGGUGAUCGGCCACACUGGAACUGAGACACGGUCCAGACUCCUACGGGAGGCAGCAGUAGGGAAUCUUCCGCAAUGGGCGAAAGCCUGACGGAGCAACGCCGCGUGAGUGAUGAGGGUCUUCGGAUCGUAAAACUCUGUUAUUAGGGAAGAACAUAUGUGUAAGUAACUGUGCACAUCUUGACGGUACCUAAUCAGAAAGCCACGGCUAACUACGU